rnacentral:rRNA from 1 species
AUAUUGGUCAAUGGAGGCAACUCUGAACCAGCCAUGCCGCGUGCAGGAAGACAGCCCUAUGGGUCGUAAACUGCUUUUAUUGGGGAAUAACCUUCCGAUCGUGAUCGGAACUGAAUGUACCCAAGGAAUAAGGAUCGGCUAACUCCGUGCCAGCAGCCGCGGUAAUACGGAGGAUCCAAGCGUUAUCCGGAUUUAUUGGGUUUAAAGGGUGCGUAGGCGGCCUAUUAAGUCAGGGGUGAAAGACGGUGGCUCAACCAUCGCAGUGCCUUUGAUACUGAUGGGCUUGAUUGCAGCUGAGGUAGGCGGAAUGUGACAAGUAGCGGUGAAAUGCAUAGAUAUGUCACAGAACACCGAUUGCGAAGGCAGCUUACUAAAGUGUAAAUGACGCUGAGGCACGAAAGCGUGGGGAUCAAACAGG